AAAUUGAAGAGUUUGAUCAUGGCUCAGAUUGAACGCUGGCGGCAGGCCUAACACAUGCAAGUCGAACGGUAACAGGAAGCAGCUUGCUGCUUUGCUGACGAGUGGCGGACGGGUGAGUAAUGUCUGGGAAACUGCCUGAUGGAGGGGAUAACUAC
rnacentral:rRNA from 1 species